ACCUCGGUGGUGUGGUGGUAGCACGUGUUCCCGGUAUGGAUGAAGCGCGGGUUUGACUCCCGUUUGAGGUA